rnacentral:lncRNA from 1 species
CAAAAAUGAAUGAAAGGUACACAACUUUUAUUUAAUCAUACCAUGAAUUAUUACAAGUAGGCACCAAUUUAUUUAUUCCCCCUAAAAAAAAAAGACAAUUUAUUUAUUUGUUUUGAAAUCGUGUAUCCUCCGCUCGCAACCGAAAAAUUAAUUUUUCGAGUCGCGUAAAAAUAAAAUAGACCGUACAAACCAGAACCAUAUCAUCCAAACAUUCUUGCAUACAAGCACUUAACAAUUGAAACAACAAAAAGUAAGAUACAAUACAUGAAAUGAAAUUAUGAUAACCAAAAUGGUAAGUAGAACCAAAUCUUUUCUACUCAUCAUCACCACCUUAACCUCUGCUAUGAAUCCACCACAAAAGAUUAGUCAAAGAGUUUCCACCAUCAAAACCAUUCAAGCUUCUUAUCUUCUUCAAUGCACUUUCAUUAUCAUAAAUUCCUUCCAAUGAAUAUAAGAAUCCCUUCCAUCCUUCUCCAACACCACCUUCCCUAUUCAAAGCAGGCAAUGUCCACUCAACAAGAUCUUUAACAUAAUCAACAUCAGAAAACAAAUCUUCAGAAAUAGGAGCCAAUGGUAUAAGCUGAAUUCCUGUCCUAGCUUCUCUCCAUUCAGGUGGAGCAAACCAAAGUCCACUAUCUCUUUUAUUAUUCCACAAAACUCCCACUAUUCUAUUCUCUUUUGUAAACUCUUCUUCAUACAAUUUCCCAUUCUUCUUAACAUGCCACCACAUUUUGGUUCCAAGAAUUUCCAAUGAUGUUAGUGUUGAUCCAAUGGACACAAGUUGAGAAUCACCAUAUGCUAUUCCCAUCAAUGCUGCAGCAUAGUAUGCAUUCACAGCUUCACUAGUACUCUCUUGAUUCCUUCCAUCUGAAAACUCGGUUAGCCCUCCGGCCCACGAAUGCAACUUGUAAAGAUCGAAACACCUUAAACGCGUAUAAUUUGAGUUCGAUUCUAUGCUUAAGUUCAUAAAAUCUUCCACAAGUGAAUAGGCUUGAGCCUUAUAUUUCCUACCCCAUGUUGGAUCGAUCUUUACAAGCACUGCUAUUGCGUAAAGAAAAUAUCCUAAGUGAAAGUGAUGAUCAUUGUAAAUUCCGAAACCGAAAUCACCACCACCAUCAUUAGACCCUUGUUGAGUAAUAAGUCCUCCCCAUUUUUUAUCAUAUAGAAAUCCAUUUCCAUUAAAAGUUCCAUCAAGCCAAGGCUCAAUGGUUUCCUUCAAAAAGUUUCUUACUUUUUCAAUAGCAUCAAAGAAGAAAACCUCUUCAGCUAUCAAUGCAAGCCUAGCUGCUCUUGCAAUUAAUUUUCCAUAAAAAUAAGACGAUUUUGUUUGUUUUGUUGCAGAUGAGUUUAAACCUUCAACAUCUUUAGAAAGUGAUGAAACAAUUUCAUUGCGUGAUUCGUCUUUUACACCUUUGCUUGAGUGCCAAGUCAUGGAAACAGGUUCUGUUUUCAAAAUCCAUGAAUCACCAACAACACCAACAAGGUCACCAUCAAUGCUUGUAUACUUGAAAUCAUCAAGAACAGUUACAUCACUCUCACUUUUUGACAGAAGUUGAAGAUGAAGAGGGUGUGCUAAUAAUAACAAAUCACCUGAAACAUUCUUCUCAAACUUAUACUCAACACAAAAUGGUUCUCUGAGUUUAGCAUUACCUGCUAAAGGGUGACAAGAACUAAAUCUGUCAAGAACAGCUUCGUUUUUCGAAUCAGAACCCGGUAGCAAAGCAAUCCGAAUUAUACCGGAAAAGGUGUCAGAAGUUAUCUGAGAAGUAAAAUGACUCAACUUGAUUGGCGAGGAAGCAUAUAGUAUCCAUGUUUGACCAUUGUUAAGUUGAAACUUGAUCCUGGUAAGGGCGCUAUUUGAAGAGAAAGAAGUAAUGGCAUGAAUGGUGGAAAUGGAAAGAGGGGUUGGUUUUGUUACAGAAAAAGUCAAAUAAGGACUUCCUCUAACAAGAAAGAAACUGAGAUUUGAAGAAGGGAUAUCUAAGGUAACACCGAGAUCACUAUAAGAAGAGAUUAUGUGUUUUCCAUUAGAACUUUGUUUGGUAUUCUGUUGAUUAGAAGUUAUGGUGAGAUCAUUGUGGAAAACUUGGGAUAUGACAGCAGAAUUCGAAGAGCGAGUAGGGUAUGAGACAGAAAGUGAUGAGUUUGAUGAUUUGAUGAGGUAAGGAUGAAAGUAUUCAGGUGCAUCACCAUUGUUGAGAACAAAGUUUUGGAAGAAAGAGUUUGUAGGCAGGGGUGUGGAUAGCAGAUUUGGAGAGAAGAAUUUGGAGGGGUCAGGGAGGACAGUGGAAUUACCUUGUGGGAAUAGAAAAGGUUUGUUCUUGUUGAUAGUAGAAGACAUGGUGUAUGCUUAUGAUGGUAAUGGCCUUGAUGGUUAUUGUAGUAGUGAUGGAUCAUGAGUUUUAUAGUGUUUGAUGAUUAUGUGUGUUGAGUGAAUUUCUUUCUUACCUUGUUUCUUAAUAUUAUUAUUAUUAUCAACAUUGGCAACUACUCUAUCUACAACUUGCUUCAUAUAUUAUUAAAUUGGUAUGAGUUGUAAGAUAAUGGGAAAUGGUUUCUUUAUAUAGCCAGUCC